rnacentral:rRNA from 1 species
UACGGAGGAUGCAAGCGUUAUCCGGAUUUAUUGGGUUUAAAGGGUGCGUAGGCGGAAUAAUAAGUCAGUGGUGAAAUACCCCGGCUCAACCGGGGAACUGCCAUUGAUACUGUUAAUCUAGAGUAUAUUUGAUGUGGGCGGAAUGUAGCAUGUAGCGGUGAAAUGCUUAGAUAUGCUACAGAACACCGAUUGCGAAGGCAGCUCACUAAACUAUAACUGACGCUGAGGCACGAAAGCGUGGGGAGCAAACAGG